CUCUCAGGCUGGUGGAAGGGGUGACAGAGUGGGUCACCAAUGGCAGUCACUCCGCUCAUUCAGAAUGACCUUGGGGACACACCGGAAGUGCCCAAAAACUUCUGCCAGGGUGAGCGGCACCUGGAGGG
rnacentral:lncRNA from 1 species